GAAGAGAGGGGUUUCUGGUCGCGCACCCAACGGCCCUUUACCCCAACUACCUGGCCGACAUGCCGGCCAUGUGGACCAUCCCUCACACCCAUUACCACAGUUUGGCCUUCCCGAUCUGUCCACCAAUGUGUUCUCCACCGCCACCCCUUCUCGACCCAAGGAUCUUCUUCGGGCUGGUUCCUCCUGGGCCCUAUCAACCUUUUCCAAUGCCUACACCCCCUCCCUUCUUCAGACCUCCUUCACCACCAGCUAAUCACUGAUUUUGAGCCAAUCGAAAAUCUAUUGUUUUUGUAAGUUUUCUUUGUUUAAUGUAUCAGUUACAUGUAAGGUUAUCUGUAACGGUUUCAAAUAUAUAAAUAAGUUCCAUAUCAAGUUUUUUAUAAAUGUUUUAAAUGCUUCUGAAAUUAAACUUUUUUUGAAUGUC